rnacentral:rRNA from 1 species
GACGAAGGGGGCUAGCGUUGUUCGGAAUUACUGGGCGUAAAGCGCGUGUAGGCGGUUGUCCAAGUUGGAUGUGAAAGCCUUGAGCUCAACUCAAGAAAUGCAUUCAGGACUGGAUGACUAGAGGACCGGAGAGGAUAGUGGAAUUCCCAGUGUAGUGGUGAAAUACGUAGAGAUUGGGAAGAACACCAGUGGCGAAGGCGGCUAUCUGGACGGUUUCUGACGCUAAGACGCGAAAGCGUGGGGAGCAACAG